AACGAACGCUGGCGGCAUGCUUAACACAUGCAAGUCGAACGGAAAGGCCCUGCUUUUGUGCGCUCCGCGACUUGCGACCGGGUGACUAACCCGUGAGUAACCUGCCCUUGCCUUUGGGGUAACUUCAGGCAACUGGGGCUAAUACCGGAUAGGAGCUCCUGCUGCAUGGUGGGGGUUGGAAAGUUUCGGCGGUUGGGGAUGGAAUCGCGGCGUAUCAGCUUGUUGGUGGGGUAGUGGCUUACCAAGGCAUUGACGGGUGGCCGGGCUGAGAGGAUGACCGGACACGUUGGGACUGAGAUGCGGCCCAGACUCCUACGGGAGGCAGCAGUGGGGAAGAGUGCACAAUGGGAGGAAGCCUGAUGCAGCAAAGCCGCGUGCGGGAUGACGGCCAGCGGGUUGUAAACCGAUUUCGCCUGUGACGAAGCGUGAGUGACGGUAAUGGGUAAAGAAGCACCGGCUAACUACGUG
rnacentral:rRNA from 1 species